AAAUACCAAAAGUAGAUCGAUGAUGAUUAUGAUCAACUUCAUACUUGCACUCUUCUUUCUCAAAGCUUGAGAAAUUUGCAGCCGUUGAAUCUGUAGGUAUUUGAAUGAAAAUUUAAUUAUGCAUGGGAUUGAAAUGAUACUAUCAAGAGAAACAAGGGAUUAAGUAGUAGGAGUAUCUGUGAUCAGAUUUGAUGAGAAUCUUGCUUUAUGUAGCUCUUGAUAUUUGCGAAUGCUGCACCUCAGUUUUUUUAAUAUAAUCUUUUUGACUUACGUUGUUAUUUUUGUGUUUCUCAGUUUAAGUUUGUCUUGUGUCUUUUUGCUUUUGCUGGUGUAUUUAGGAUCGAUUUGAAACUUCCAUGCCAGAGAAGAGUAACUAACUUACAAUAAUGUAGGAGAUUGACGGCUGGGAAUUGAUGUUUACACCAAUAAAUUUUGGUGUGUUUAAAUGAGAAAAUGAGAGAAGUUGCAUCAGUUGAAGGAUCAGGUCCCACGUGGAAUGAGACCUUCAUGUUUGCCAUCUCUAAGGAUGUUUAGGAAAUGAAAAUCAGGAUAAUGGAUAAAGACACUCUUAGUGCUGAUGAAUUUUUUGGUGAAGUCACAUAUGUAAUUUAUCUGCUUCUAUGUAUGUCUGAUACUGCAAACUGUUUAAUCUUUUUCUUGGAUUCUCAGGAUUCCUCUUGAGCCGGCAUUUGAAGCGGAAAGAGUUCUGACAGCAAUGUACAAUGUUGUCAAGGAUGGGACAUUGUGUGGAGGGCUAAAUGUCAGCCUCAAGUUCACUCAGCAGAUAACACGAAGCAGGUGGCUUUGUAGUGAGGAUGUGGGAGGGUGGAAGUCAUCAGCAGCAAUCGAUUGAUGGCUAAGCAAAGUUUCUGUUUCAGCAUCUUGAGCAAGAUUCUUGUAUUGAAUUUCAUUUUACCAACUGAAUUGUUUAUUGAGCACAACAAUUUCAGUAAAGUGUUAGAAGUUGUUUGAUCUCUUUGGUUGAUGUUAAUUGUUUGAUAGUAUAAUCUUGCAUGAUAUGUUUUUUUUUUCUUUGAGGAUUUGUUGUAUGAUACAUAGAUUCUGAUUUUGCAAGGAAACACGGGUUUAUAUUCGCACA